rnacentral:rRNA from 1 species
AUUGAACGCUGGCGGCAGGCCUAACACAUGCAAGUCGAGCGGGGUUUUCGGACCUAGCGGCGGACGGGUGAGUAAUGCGUAGGAAGCUACCCGAUAGAGGGGGAUACCAGUUGGAAACGACUGUUAAUACCGCAUAAUGUCUACGGACCAAAGUGUGGGACCUUCGGGCCACAUGCUAUCGGAUGCGCCUACGUGGGAUUAGCUAGUUGGUGGGGUAAUGGCUCACCAAGGCGACGAUCCCUAGCUGGUUUGAGAGGAUGAUCAGCCACACUGGAAGUGAGACACGGUCCAGACUCCUACUGGAGGCAGCAGUGGGGAAUAUUGGACAAUGGGCGCAAGGCUGAUCCAGCCAUGCCGCGUGUGUGAAGAAGGCCUUCGGGUUGUAAAGCACUUUCAGUAGGGAGGAAGGAUGUUGUGUUAAUAGCACAGCAUUUUGACGUUACCUACAGAAGAAGCACCGGCUAACUCUGUGCCAGCCGCCGCAGUAAUAC